GAUUGCGGCUGUAGCCACGCUCUUGUUUCAUAUGCAGACAUGACAGGAGGCUGACUACCUCGCGAUGAAGACGCCGCGGCAGCGUAUGCCGCCAGACGACAAGCGCCGGAUGGUCAGAGACUGAGGACUUGCGAAGAGAAUUAAGGGGUCCUGUGUCCUGUCUUCGCCUCGUGAUGGAUGGAGCGUCACACAGAGGGGAACUAAGAAGGACCCAUGACUAACCAGUCAUCCUUUGCUGGAUUCUCAGGGGGAAACUAGUGGAAUGCUUCACGUGGACCCAGAGAUGCUGAAUCACCCCAAUCACACUGUCCUGACUAGUGUUGUGACAAGAGUAUACACCAGACCUGGGCAAAGUGCGGCCCGGGUGCCAUAUGGGGCCUGAUACCUUUAUUUUUGUGGCACUUUUGACGUCAAACUAAAACUAUAACUGCUAUGUUGUAAUUUUUCUGUUUUUUUUGUUUUUUCUCCUUUAGUCACCAUUGCCACCACUUUAGCAGUAAAUAUAUAUCUAUAUAUAAUCUAAAUAUAUAUUUUUUUUCAUUGGCCAUUUUUGUGUUUUUCUAGUUCCUCAAAAUA